AUUGAACGCUGGCGGCAGGCUUAACACAUGCAAGUCGAACGAGUGGCGGACGGGAGAGUAAUGCUUGGGAAUCGAGCUUAUGGAGGGGGAUACCUACGGGAAACUGUAGCUAAUACCGCGUACCAUAGGAUGAGCCCAAGUGGGAUUAGGUAGUUGGUGAGGUAAAGGCUCACCAAGCCGACGAUCUCUAGCUGGUCUGAGAGGAUGACCAGCGAAACUGGUACUUAGACACGGCCCAGACUCCUACGGGAGGCAGCAGUGGGGAAUAUUGCGAAAUGGGGGCAACCUGAAACAGCCAAGCCGCGUGAAGUAAGAAGGCCUUCGGGGUGUAAAGUUCUUUCGGUAGCGAGGCGUUAACUACAGAAGAAGCACCGGCUAACUCCGUGCCAGCAGCCGCGGUAAUUC
rnacentral:rRNA from 1 species